rnacentral:sRNA from 1 species
GCAUCACGUCUGUCAUAUUGCGUUUCGCAUGGAAAUAUCUUGAAAUAAACAACAAACCAACAGAGGAAUGGCAUUGCAACCCGGAUUGUGCUGACAAAAAACACAUGCAACAGAAUAAAAGACCCUGUGCAUCGUGAAACAACACAACGACGAGAAACAGAAGAAAAGCAGUGUUCAUCCAUAUAAUCGCGUUGCUUGAUGGGCCUUUUCGCUAAGAUAGGAUUCGGCCAACACCACAGACUCUCUUCUCUCAACCCAUCGUAUAGACGCAUAUGCGCAGCGACUUUGCAAUACUCGGGCGGCAGCUCGCACGCACCGUAAUAGGGCUGCCAAUAGGGAUCCCGUGAUCGCAUAUCAGGCUCAUCUCCUCCGCACAACUGUCUCCGGCCACUCCUUCCGGUCAACCAGUGUCCAAACUGCAUAUGCUUCUUGGACUAGUAGGGGUCCUCUGUGCGCAUUUAAAUCCUGCCACUUGUUGCUGCUUAAUUCAUGGUAAUCUAGAGUAUAUCCAAAUAUUACUUUAUAAGCAGGUUAAUUUUAUUAUUAAUUAAUUAUGUCGAAUGCUAAUCAAAAAGAUACGCGACAAUCCGGUAUCAAAUGCAUUAUUCCUUCCUGUAUUUCUGGAUAUAGAACAAGGUCGGCCAAUUUUCCUGUGAAGAUAUUCAGAUUUCCACCGAAUCCAUUGUACUUCAAUAAAUGGGUUGAGGUUUGUGGCUUAGAUAAAAAUUUGGUGAAGAGAACUGCACGAAUUUGUGAACGUCAUUUCAAAGCCGAGGAUAUAGGACGGGCUAAAUUGAAGUUUGGAGCAAUACCAACAUUGAAUUUGUCUGAUAAUACUCCAUUGAAUC